AGAAUCAACGCUGGCGGCGUGCCUAACACAUGCAAGUCGAACGAGAAAGUGGAGCAAUCCAUGAGUAAAGUGGCGCACGGGUGAGUAACACGUGACUAACCUACCCUUGAGUGGGGAAUAACUUCGGGAAACCGAGGCUAAUACCGCAUAACACCUACGGGUCAAAGGAGCAAUUCGCUUAAGGAGGGGGUCGCGGCAGAUUAGUUAGUUGGCAGGGUAAUGGCCUACCAAGACGGUGAUCUGUAUCCGGCCUGAGAGGGCGCACGGACACACUGGAACUGAAACACGGUCCAGACUCCUACGGGAGGCAGCAGUGGGAAUUUGCGCAAUGGGGGAAACCCUGACGCAGCAACGCCGCGUGGAGGAUGAAGUCCCUUGGGACGUAAACUCCUUUCGAUCGGGACGAUUAUGACGGUACCGGAAGAAGAAGCCCCGGCUAACUUCGUGCCAGCAGCCGC
rnacentral:rRNA from 1 species